rnacentral:rRNA from 1 species
AUUGAACGCUGGCGGCAGGCCUAACACAUGCAAGUCGAGCGGAGCGGCGGGCGGGCGAGUAAGGCAUAGGAAGCUGCCUGGUAGUGGGGGAUAACGUCCGGAAACGGGCGCUAAUACCGCAUACUAUCAGAUGAGCCUAGGUCGGAUUAGCUAGUUGGUGGGGUAAAGGCAUACCAAGGCGACGAUCCAUAACUGGUCUGAGAGGAGGAUCAGUCACACUGGAACUGGGAACCGGUCCGGACUCCUACGGGGGGAAGCAUUGGGAAUUAUUGGACAAGGGGCGAAGGCCUGCUCCAGCCAUGCCGGGUGUGUGAAGAGGGUCUUCGGAUUUUAAAGCACUUUAAGUUGGGAGGCGUUACCAACAGAGUAAGCACCGGCUAACUUCGUGCCAGCCGCCGCGGUAAUAC